UUCUUCUCCUCUUCUGCAGCCCGAGCAGCUGCUUCUUCAAGUUGCUGUACAAAGAAGGAGCUCUUGUUCAAUGACCUUAGCAGUAUCAGCAGAAUGGUUGAGGACAAAAUUCAGCUGAUCAAGAGUUAACUAGAAUAGAUGCUUUGCAUUGUUGAAAGUACUGUUUGGUGCCAAGACUUUCUGACGACUUCUGAAUGGAUCUCGAAAGCCUGCCAAGAAAGGCUUUUUUAUCCUUAUGAAGAAAUCAAAGACGACAGAUAUUCCUCCAUAUGGUACAUGUGAGCAUGAAUUACAACUUUAGAUAGGUGGAGGCACACUGCCUGAAAAGAGCAUCACACACAUGCUUAAUUUAGGGUUUGAAGGAAGAUCUUUUUCCUAUGAAAGAAAUGUAGUUCUUUACAGCCCUUCUUGGACUUUCAGAAAUAUUUUGGGGCCAAAUGAUAAAAUAGUAAAAUGGCAAUCCUUCCAACUGGGGGAGGAAAGGAGAUACAGAAGACUGACAGAAAUAUCUUAUGAAUAUCAAGACAGAUCUAUUCUUUUCUGACCAACUUCAGUUUAAUAAAUUACUAACCCUACGAUUUAUUAGGCAGACUUAGACAGUGCGCAGGCUUGCUUAUGCAUAGUUUUUGUACCAGUUUAGCCUUACAUAUUUAGGACCAGUGGACAGAUCUAGCAUCAUAAAAACAUCUACCAGGUACACAACUUUUAUUCUACAAAGUAGCUGCAGAUUAAAUUUUAAUAUUUUCAUAAAAGCUUAAAAAUUUUUCUAACAAUUUUUUUGUAGAUAUUCUCUUAGCUAGUGAAUUAUUAAUACCAAUAAAAAAGAAGUUUGUAUUUUAAGUCAGAAAUGUAAAGGCCAGUUUUCCUUAGGUUCUUAAGUACUAUUUUCCAAAUACUAAUACCUUACAGUACUAUAAGGAAUGAAUAGAUCUUUUAAUAUUUGCAGUUUUGCUUUCAUAAAGAAGUUGCUUGAAAAAUAAAAAGUCACAUUUAAAAACC